GAUUUUAUUAGUUCUGACCACUCACUGGGCUUUUCAGCAUGUCUUUUUCAUGAAGGAUUUUUUUCCUAGUUUGUGAGACCUACAUUAAGAAGGAAAGAGAAAAAUCUAUUUUCUGCUUGACAAAAAAAUUAAGUGUGAAGAAGUUGUUUCCAUUUCCAGAAGCAUUUUAAAGCCCUUCAGAGCCAAGUACUCAGUAAAUCCACUUCAGGGUCUGGGCAUCAGUGCACACCAUGAGGAAGUGUUUUUUCUUGUAGCUGCUCCCUCAGCCUUUGUCCAGUCACCAGCCAGAGGCUGUCAAGGUGACAGCACCACUGUUGAAAGGCACAGGUGAUGCUGCUUCCUCUCCACCUCAUCUUCCUUGAGUGUUUGGGAGUUCCUGCUUCCAUACAGGAAUGUAAGCAUGAGCAGCAUAAUGCUCAGGACCAGUUCAGGAGAUACUGGAUGUCAUUUGCCAGAGAUUAAAUCUUCAAGGUCAAAUUACAGGGAAAGUAGCACAACUGCAGAGAAGAACUGAAACUGAGUAUCACAGGAAGGGGUGUGCUAUGAAAGACUGUUUGGUCAAUUGAUAUUUUUUCAAAUUUGAGGAAAGAAAAUGAUGAGAAGUAAGUCACUUAGAAUGAAGACAAUAUAUAGGAAUUGCAGAAGAACUAGUAGCUCAUAAAAACCCAUUUUUAUCUGCUCCAUGCUCAGAGUGCAGCCUGGGUUUAACCAUGAUGAGCCUACUACCUCCUCUGAAAGGCCAGGGUUUGUGUCAGCAAGUGCUCUAAGUUAUAAAAUAGGAGUUGCUUUGGUUGGUGUGGAAGAGAGGACCUGUCUGGUGAUUGUUCUCUCCUGAGUGCAGCAGGCUCAAUUAAAGGGAAUGGCAGCCAGUAUUCCUUCAACAGAUCACAGCAAGACAGACAGGGAACUUCUUUUGAUUGAUUUGUGAAAGAAAGUACUAACAGAUUUAUAUUGCAAAAAAUAAAAGAGGUUUGAAGUUAUACCUGCUGUCCCUU
rnacentral:lncRNA from 1 species